rnacentral:rRNA from 1 species
AUGUCGUCGUCCUCCUCCUCGUCGACUGUCUUCAACCUGGACCACCUCGCGCCGUCCCCCACCGAGCAGCUCUGCUACGUCCACUGCAACUGCUGCGACACCAUCCUUGCGGUCGGUGUGCCGUGCAGCAGCCUGUUCAAGACGGUGACGGUGAGGUGUGGCCACUGCGCUAACCUGCUCUCCGUCAACCUCCGCGCCCUCCUGCUCCCGCCCGCGGCGCCUCCGGCAAACCAGCUCCAGUUCGGCCACUCCUUGCUUUCCCCUACUUCCCCCCAUGGCCUCUUGGACGAGGUUGCGUUCCAGACGCCGAGCCUACUGAUGGACCAGGCGAGCACCAACCUGAGCGGCUUCACGGGCCGCAGCAACAGCAGCUGCGCCAGCAACCUGCCGGCGAUGCCGAUGCCUGCCGCCAAGCCUGCGCAGCAGGAAACCGAGCAGUCGGCAAAGAGCGCCCCAUCGGCGAACAGGCCUCCGGAGAAGCGUCAGAGAGUUCCCUCCGCCUACAACCGCUUCAUCAAGGAUGAGAUCCAGCGCAUCAAGGCCGGCAACCCGGACAUCACCCACCGCGAGGCCUUCAGCGCAGCCGCAAAGAAUUGGGCCCAUUUCCCGCACAUCCACUUCGGCCUCAUGCCGGAUCAGGGAUUCAAGAGGACCUUCAAGGCUCAGGAUGGCGCCGAAGACAUGCUUCUCAAGGAUGGUCUCUAUGCUGCGGCGGCCGCGGCGGCUGCCAAUAUGAGCGUCACUCCGCUUUAA